rnacentral:misc_RNA from 1 species
CUGCCCUCAAGCACGGCUUGGGUGUUGGGUUCCGUCCCCCUCCAAAGGGACGGGCCUGAAAGGCAGUGGCGGUGUCAUGUCCGGUUCUCGAGCGUAUGGGGCUCUGUCACUCCGCUCUGGUAGGAACGGCCGACAGUCUGCCGACUCUCCAACCUUCUUUUUUCCA